CAUCAUCGUAAGAACAAUAACUGGCUGUUUUACUAUGCUCUCAACUAUGCUGCUGUUGCUACUGGCUUUACUUUUCCACACAUUUGGUUUAAUCAAAUAGGGCAAGGACAAGGUUCAUAGACGAGACAGCAUCCAUAAAGUAGAUACGGAGGAUAAUGAUAACCAGUCAAUAAGAGUCACAAGAGGUCUACAAGAGGACAUUUGUAACAUUGGUAAACCAUAUAACAGUUGUGCACUUGCAGCAGCAGGAUCAUAUUUUUCUCAGUUUAAUCACUUCAUCUUACAUACUAUGUAUCUUAAUUCUUACGGUUAAUUUAUCAACAGCAUACAUUGUCAAAAUCCAAGAGAGUUCGUUCUCCAGUGCUUAGUUCUUCAUUUCAAACUUUUAAUUUCAAAAAGGUUGCUGCUUAACGUGCUACUACAUAAGCCUGAUAAAUUCAUGCUGGUAGCAAUUUUUCCUAUAGAAAAUUUAGUACUGGGAACAAAUUGAAAGUUUUAAUUCAAAGUGCUAAAACUUUUGGAAUCAGCUGGACUGCAAAAAAUUCUACAGAAUAAGAUCAAUUUGAGGAUAAGAAGGAGCCAAAUAUUCCAUUACAAGUGACAUCGGAUCUUAAGUCUGUAUGGAAACAUUUAACCUACAAAAUUUAUAGGACUUCAAUAUUUUUUACCAGCAAAAGGAAGUCUUUAGCAAGGAGUUAUCAUUGUAAACUUAUCCAAACAAAAAAAUUGACAAUUAUGUACAACUAUUAUUACUUGAAUUUGAAACUCUCUACCCUUCUGAUGCUGUACCUUCCAGGCGCCUUAAAACUAGUAAAGCUACUGAUAUCAUUGUGUGUGCAUUCUCAAAU